GACGAACGCUGGCGGCGUGCUUAACACAUGCAAGUCGAACGGAAAGGCCCUGCUUUUGUGGGGUGCUCGAGUGGCGAACGGGUGAGUAACACGUGAGUAACCUGCCCUUGACUUUGGGAUAACUUCAGGAAACUGGGGCUAAUACCGGAUAGGAGCUCCUGCUGCAUGGUGGGGGUUGGAAAGUUUCGGCGGUUGGGGAUGGACUCGCGGCUUAUCAGCUUGUUGGUGGGGUAGUGGCUUACCAAGGCUUUGACGGGUAGCCGGCCUGAGAGGGUGACCGGCCACAUUGGGACUGAGAUACGGCCCAGACUCCUACGGGAGGCAGGAGUGGGGAAUAUUGCACGAUGGGCGGAAGCCUGAUGCAGCAACGCCGCGUGCGGGAUGACGGCCUUCGGGUUGUAAACCGCUUUCGCCUGUGACGAAGCGUGAGUGACGGUAAUGGGUAAAGAAGCACCGGCUAACUACGU
rnacentral:rRNA from 1 species